rnacentral:rRNA from 1 species
UACGUAGGUGGCAAGCGUUGUUCGGAAUUAUUGGGCGUAAAGGGCGCGUAGGCGGUCAACUAAGUCAUACGUGAAAUCCCUCAGCUUAACUGGGGAACUGCGUGUGAUACUGGAUGGCUUGGAUUUGGGAGAGGGAUGCGGAAUUCCAGGUGUAGCGGUGAAAUGCGUAGAUAUCUGGAGGAACACCGGUGGCGAAGGCGGCAUCCUGGACCAAUAUUGACGCUGAGGAGCGAAAGCUAGGGGAGCAAACGGG